rnacentral:rRNA from 1 species
GAUGAACGCUGGCGGCGUGCCUAAUACAUGCCAGUCGAGCGAACAGAUGAGGAGCUUGCUCCUCUGGCGUUAGCGGCGGACGGGUGAGUAACACGUGGAUAACCUACCUAUAAGACUGGGAUAACUUCGGGAAACCGGAGCUAAUACCGGAUAAUAUAUUGAACCGCAUGGUUCAAUAGUGAAAGACGGUUUUGCUGGCACUUAUAGAUGGAUCCGCGCCGCAUUAGCUAGUUGGUAAGGUAACGGCUUACCAAGGCAACGAUGCGUAGCCGACCUGAGAGGGUGAUCGGCCACCCUGGAACUGAGACACGGUCCAGACUCCUACGGGAGGCAGCAGUAGGGAAUCUUCCGCAAUGGGCGAAAGCCUGACGGAGCAACGCCGCGUGAGUGAUGAAGGUCUUCGGAUCGUAAAACUCUGUUAUUAGGGAAGAACAAAUGUGUAAGUAACUAUGCACGUCUUGACGGUACCUAAUCAGAAAGCCACGGCUAACUACGUG